CCCAAACCUUUUCUUUUCAGCAGCAAACUACCCAACCAAAUCCCUAUACGUCUUCUUCCUCAGCACGCUGCAAAACACGCCCAAUUCUAGCAGUUCAAGAUGAAACCCAGAAAUCUGCGAAAUCUUUCGACCCGUCCACUCUAAACGGCGUGAACAGUACGCGACGCUAAGUACUUUUUUGCGUUUCUUCCUCCUCUCUUUUGCCUCAGUGUACAGAACCAUCACCCUCCCGUCCCCGCUUCUCCCUUUUUCGCAGAGCUUCAGAGCCUUUUUGUUGUUGCCUAGAAAAGGAACGAAUUGAUCCAAAUGUCCAACGGAUUUUUCCCCUAGUCGCCCAAAAAACAUUCCCUAUAAAUAAUCCUCUUUACAUUCAAGUUAAAAACAAGUUUAGAAAUUGGAUUUUGACGGUAUCAUUCUGCAUUUAAGGCUUUGACAUUUAGUUCUUUGUUUCUAAAUUCCAAAAAGGUAGCCGCUCAGGUUCUACCCAGAUUUCUUGUUUGCCGUUCGUAUUAGAGUUUUUGUGGUAGAAGAACCGAUACUAGCUCGUUUUUGCCUCAGUUCGCUGGGGUCCCGGAGACCCAACGUACUGCUGGAAAUUAGCUCAAAAGCCAGAGAAAUGAGUUGUAUAAAUAUUGUAUACUACAUUAUACACUGAUAUACGUGUUAAGUGCGACAAAUAUGUGGCCAAAAACAAAGAUACAGGUUGGAGGCGUCAAAGCAGACUGUAUACUGUCGCUAUACAUUUUGAUAUACAAAAAAAAAAAGUUAAUAAACCACCCGUAUACAACAGUAUACACUUGGUGUAUACAAAGGAUUUCAAGGGUUAAAAUAGGGUCCAGAGCCCAAAUCAGCAGUCUGAAAAGCCCAAGUCCAUUACCUCUUUAUUUGUUUGAUUGCAUUUAUUUAUUUGAUUUGAUAUAUUUGUUUAACUCUAACCCUCUAUAUGUUUCGUUAUAAUUUAAUUAAAUUCCCCAAAAGGUAAACUGUAUUCUUUAUGUUAGUA